UUGCUUCGGCAGCACAUAUACUAAAAUUGGAACAAUACAGUGAAGAUAGGCAUGGCCCCUGUGCAAGGUUGACAUGGAAAUUCUUGAUGCAUUCUAUCUUUAC